rnacentral:rRNA from 1 species
UGGGGAAUAUUGGACAAUGGGCGAAAGCCUGAUCCAGCCAUGCCGCGUGUGUGAAGAAGGUCUUCGGAUUGUAAAGCACUUUAAGUUGGGAGGAAGGGCAGUAAGUUAAUACCUUGCUGUUUUGACGUUACCGACAGAAUAAGCACCGGCUAACUCUGCGCCAG